UGGGGAAUAUUGCACAAUGGGGGAAACCCUGAUGCAGCGACGCCGCGUGAGCGAAGAAGGCCUUCGGGUCGUAAAGCUCUGUCCUAAGGGAAGAAGAGGACGGUACCUUAGGAGGAAGCCCCGGCUAACUACGUGCCAGCAGCCGCGGUAAUACGUAGGGGGCGAGCGUUAUCCGGAAUUACUGGGCGUAAAGGGUGCGUAGGCGGUCUUUUAAGUCAGAUGUGAAAGACUACGGCUUAACCGUAGUAAGCAUUUGAAACUAAGAGGCUUGAGUGCAGGAGAGGAGAGUGGAAUUCCUAGUGUAGCGGUGAAAUGCGUAGAUAUUAGGAGGAAUACCAGUGGCGAAGGCGACUCUCUGGACUGUAACUGACGCUGAGGCACGAAAGCGUGGGGAGCAAACAGG
rnacentral:rRNA from 1 species